GGCGACUCCGAAUCUGAAGGAAGCCGUAGGCAAAAGUCUGGCUCCACGCACAGAAACUUGAUACAAGGCUCAAAGUCAGGGGUAAGGCUGCUAAGCAAGUCAAAGCCCGAUAGCUAUCCGGACUGACGCGAGUAAAUCAAGGGAGUAUAAGACGGAAAGAUUAU
rnacentral:ncRNA from 1 species